GUCACCGUCGUGACGCUGACGACGCAACCCGUAUCCCUGACCACCGAAUUGCCGGGCCGUACGUCCGCGUUCCGCGUGGCCGAAGUGCGGCCCCAGGUGAACGGCAUCGUGCAGAAGCGAUUGUUCACGGAAGGCGGCGAGGUCAAGGCCGGUCAGCAGCUCUAUCAGAUCGA
rnacentral:ncRNA from 1 species